rnacentral:rRNA from 1 species
AGUGAACGCUGGCGGUAGGCCUAACACAUGCCAGUCGAACGGCAGCACAGUAAGAGCUUGCUCUUACGGGUGGCGAGUGGCGGACGGGUGAGGAAUACAUCGGAAUCUACUUUUUCGUGGGGGAUAACGUAGGGAAACUUACGCUAAUACCGCAUACGACCUACGGGUGAAAGCAGGGGAUCUUCGGACCUUGCGCGAUUGAAUGAGCCGAUGUCGGAUUAGCUAGUUGGCGGGGUAAAGGCCCACCAAGGCGACGAUCCGUAGCUGGUCUGAGAGGAUGAUCAGCCACACUGGAACUGAGACACGGUCCAGACUCCUACGGGAGGCAGCAGUGGGGAAUAUUGGACAAUGGGCGCAAGCCUGAUCCAGCCAUACCGCGUGGGUGAAGAAGGCCUUCGGGUUGUAAAGCCCUUUUGUUGGGAAAGAAAAGCAGCAGGUUAAUACCCCGCUGUUCUGACGGUACCCAAAGAAUAAGCACCGGCUAACUUCGUGC